rnacentral:rRNA from 1 species
GUCUAUGGCCAUACCAGAACGCGCCGAUCUCGUCUGAUCUCGGAAGCUAAGCAGGGUCUGGCCUGGUUAGUACUUGGAUGGGAGACAACUUCAAGGACAUGAAUU